CCAGGUGUUGUGCCAGCUGCAGGAGGCAGAAGUGGUGAGGGCCUGAUGCUUUUUUUUCUGCAGAGCCUGCCUGCCUCUCCUGCAGCCUGGUGGUGAGCUGACUAAUGACUGCAAUAUUCCAUAUUGUAUUGUUGCAACCUAAACUACAUCGGGAUGUAAUUUAAUUGAAAAAAUGCAAACUCAUUUUAAACCCAUAAAACACAGGUACGUGUAAUCUGUAACACCAUUAAGCCACACACAGUGAUGUACAUUUCAUCACAUGUACAUUGUGACAUUGUCUGGCACCCCAGAACUCUGAUUUAUUUCUCUUCCUGACUGUCAGUUUGUUUGGCAGGUCAUGUUCUGAAGAGCGUACAGUCCAAACAGACAAAAGCAAAGGUUCUGAGUAAUGUUAAUUUGCUAACUAGGGCAUUAGAUCCAUAAUUUAUAAGCUCCGUGUUGGUAAAGACCCUUUUUUCUUUAUCUAUCUGUGAAGUGCCUAACAUAAUGGGAUCCUGAUCAUAACUGGGACUAGUAAAUGCUGCUGCAAUACAGGAAAUACCUUACUGUUUUUUUGUUUUCCCUACAUCCCCCCAACCCUCCUACCUCUGUUUAGAUUAAUUAUUAUUUACGACAGUGCUGCAGUGCUGUGGGAUGCCUGGAGAUCCUUUCAGGGAUGCUGUGGGGUAUCACACAAUGUUAGCACUGUUACGCAUGCAAACAUGAUUCAGAAAAUAAAUUCAGAAAUUUCAAAUAGAAAUGUAGAGUGUUAAAACCAUUCUGCCCUGUUGUGUUUUUUCCUGAGGUUUUUUUCUGUAGUCAAAAUUGAGUGAAAACUAAGAGCUGACAUUUUCCAAGGAUACCUUGAGUCUACUGAGAGGAACUUGAGUCUAAAAAGGUUGACAACUACUGGUCUAGAUGAGUGGUUUUCAAAAUGUGUUCUUUGGAACCAUGUGAUUCCACCACAGGUCAUCAGGGAUUUUGCAAGGAAAUUUAAGGUACCUGUGGAACAAGCUGGGAGGUGGAGUGCCACCAUUGCCAGGCCGGGCUGCCUGGUUCCAUGUCUCCCUUUCGGAUAGGGGUAGGUUUUCUGCAGCAGCAGAAGUGAUAUGAAAGGGUUCCAUGACUUUAGGAAGUUUGAAAACCACUGGUUUAGAUGUUCCAUUGGCUUCACAUACUUCUCUCAGUCACUGAACCUCCUUCACUCCCAUGCCUGAGACACAGGUUAGGCUCUGGAGGAUAUUAAUAGUAUUUGUUAUCAUGAUAAAAAGACACUGAAGAGCAGAAACAUGUUGAGGAGGCUGAACUGUUUUGUGAACUCAAGAGAAACCUGUGUAAGCAGCAGACUAGUUGUAGCUCUUCAAGGGCUAAGUAGAGACAGUCAAAAAGUCUGAGACUGAAUUGAUUCAAUCUUUACAGGUUAGUCUAAGCUGCAUAGAUUGAACUGAUAAGCAAGUGGACAGACAUUCACUUUUGAUUCUGGAAGUACAGCUACAUGCCUGCAGUGCUCCCGGUUAGAAGCCAGGGGGUGCUAAAGCGUGCCACUCUGCUCAGCUGGAGCAGACAGCUUGGGCCAAGGCUACCCUGCCCACCCUGUGAGGUGGGGCUUGUGGGUGUGGUGCAAGGUAUCCCAGGAUGCUGGGGGACUGUGAGUUAACUUGAAUCUGGAGGGGAUCUGGGACAGAAGUUCAAUGAACUGGUUUGACCUAAAUCAGUUAAAUCUUAUACUACAUCCAUCCAGAUUUAUCUUAAACCAGUUUUGGCCAUUUUGAAAGUGGCUUAUGUGCACUGAACUUCUCUUGUGUUACAGACUUGAACUGGUUUCUAAUCAGUUAUGUCUGUUUAUGUGUAAUUUCUGUCCCUAGCUUAUAAGGCUCACAAAACACUUCUUACAGCAGCACACAUUCAUUAUGGUGAUUACUUAAAAUCCAGCUGUGAUUUUGAGAGCAAAACCCCACCUCCCACUCAGUUUUCACCUUUGAAAUACCCAAACUGCUCCUUUAACAGUAGAUCCAACACAAGUAGUUUAAACAUAAUCAUUGCUUUCUUUAAUGUGUCUCAGUAGCCAAGUAUCUAGAAGGAACUUGGAGAUCAGCAGUGACCAAUGCCUUCCCCAGAAUUAUACUCCCUCCUAGAGGCUUAUUGACAGAGCACAAGGGAUUUUAUUUUUCAGUCUAAGUGUGAAUGGGGUAAAGUCAGCAACAUUCUCAGAAAAAUUAGGAUAAUGAGUCACGGUUGUAAAACUCCUAGACAUUUCUUCCUUGGACUUCUGUGCAUUCCUUCUACCCUGCACUAUUAAGAUGGUAAGCUGUUCAGGGCAGGGACUUUGUCUACUUUUGAGUCCUGUACAGUGCUGGACAUACUGUUGGUGCUUACUCCAGCCUGUCUGUGUUCCCUUCGCCAUCUUACAAUAUAUUAUGGUGCUAUGAAAAUAAUCUAACAUAUAAUAUAACAGGAAUAGUUUCAAAUUUUGAAGAGCAUGCUAUGGCCACAGAUGUUGUUUGUGAAAGAUGUGAAAUAGAUGAGAAAUGGCACAGGAAGACCAGUCUAGCUUGUUCUAAGCUUGAAGGAAAAAGGAUAAUUUUAGUUUCACAUUAAUUUGUAUUCAAUUACAAUUUUUAUGAUUUUUUUCCAGUCCACCUAAUUUGAAGAGCAUGCUGCCUAUAGGAAGGAGUUACAGAGAUCCAAGAAGAAUGUAUUAGGUAUUGCCUAUGCCAGUAGACAGAUGUAGUAGGUGCACAACAGCGCCAACAUUUGUUUCUUCUGUGUUGCAUUCCUCAUAAUUUGGGCUCCUAGCAGAUACUGCUGCAAAACAAGUAAUAAAAUGGGUCUAAAAUGUUUACCCACCGAGGUGGGUUGUGAGAGUUAAUUGCCUAAUAUUUGUACAAAACACAUAUUGUUUGGGUAGGAUAUGAUCUGGGAAGCCAAGAAGAACUUCUAAGUAAAGAAAUAAAAUAUUCUCUAUAUAUAACUUUACCCCUUGAUUGUAGUAAUGGAAGCCCUCAAGGGAGUUUUCAAAGUGUCAUGACUUAUAUGAAAAGUAGGGCAAACAUAAGAUUGUGAGUAACUUGCCUCCUCCUGCACCUAAGAGGUGCUUGCCUUUUCUCCAGAGAUCUCUAGUAACAAGUUUGCUGAGAAAGUUUGACUGGGUCUGACAGAGCAAUCAUGUUACUGACUGAACUGGGAAAUAGUGCUAAAUUUUUUGCUGACUCAAGUCCAUCAAAGCAAACAAGGUUGUGCCUACUUAUGCCAAUGGCAAUAUUGACCUUGACUUUGACUUUGUUCAAAGUCAGAUUUGACUGAUUUUCUUUCUGCAAAAAUAGAAUAGCAAAUCACAUGUCUCCUGUACCUCUGUAACUCAAAUCAGCUCCUGCAUGUCUGAACCUGAGUCCAAGCCUCUGCUAGGGUUCUGAUUUCCUAUGAUCUGUUUUCAGAGGCAUAUGAUCUGAGUCAUGAUUUAAAACUCAGCAGAUACAAUAUUUUUGCAAAAGACAGGAAAUUCAUGCAUAUCAUACAUGGCAUUCAAUACUUCUCCCUCUGAAUUCAUGUGCAAGACCCCCAGUGCUUUUCACUGAAACAGGAUCAUUCUUAUUCAUGGUCCCUCAGUUCCAAAUUAAAGAAUGUUUCAGGAGAUUUAGUAUUGUGGAAUUAUAAUUUUUUUUGAUUUUAUAAUCCCAGAUGGCAUAAAUGACUGCACUGAAAGUUCAGGAUCCUCUUGCUUUCACUACAAUAACAUCCAUCUAGUGAACAGUUGAUAGAAUUAGGAAAUAAUUUCUCUAUGUUUUCCAUAGCUUUUUACUUCGAAUCUAAAUUUAGAAUUUGACUUUGACUGAAAGGUGCCUAGUAAAGAUACACACCACCCAGCAGUUGGUGACCCCAUCUUACUUACAUGAGACACCUCAAGGCUCUGGAAAAAUACCAUCGACACUGCCUGUGGAAGACAGAUGCACCAACAUUAGCGUCCUCUUGCAAGUAAACACUGAGCAUUGAGGCAAUGAUCAUCCAACAUCAACUUUGCUGGGCCAGCCACACCAUUUGGAUGUCUGACUCCAGACUUAUGAACAAAUUUUAUUCUCCCAGGUCAGUCAAAGCGUACACUCAAGAAGAGGGCAGAGAAAGAGCUUCAAGGAUGUCCUCAAGGCCAACUUUAAAAAAUGCAACAUCAAUAUGAACUCAUGGGAGACUAUCUCACAGGACUGCCUCAAAUGGAGGAAGAGUUUGCUACAAGGAUCUCAGUACUUCGAAAGCUUACAACAAUAACAACAGGAGACAAAAAAGUGGGAGUGGCAGAAUUAGUGUAUUGAGGACCAAAUCAAGAAUCUGGAGCUACUCACUCCACAUGGAAACAUGUGCCCGAGUUGCAACAGAGUCUGUCGAUCCCAGGUCAGCUUUGUCAGCCAUCCUUGGACCCACAGAUAAAACUAUCAUGGAAGACAUCAUUCUUGACUGUGAGGGAUUGCUGAUACACUUAUAUUUAUUAAUUAAAGGGAUAGUCUACAUAUAAAGCUGUGAUAUUUAUCCAGUUACAAGUUUUCCUUAAUAAAAGUAUACAUGUAGAUUUAUAAA